AGUUGAUAUUGUGAAAGAGAAAGGGAAAACUGUUGAUGAUAGUGUACUUGCUGAUAGGGAGUGCAGCCUCAAAAUUGAGGUCCUCUUGAAUUCUCCUCCGGUGGAAACUACGGGUGUGCUUUCUGCUAUUCUUGAUGGGUCCCCUGUUCAUGUGAUCAAGAAAGAGAUUGUUUACAAUCCUCCUAGGGGU